UACGAACUGUGCAAACGUUAUUCGGAAUCACUGGGCUUAAAGGGUGCGUAGGCGGCUUGUUAAGUAGGGUGUGAAAUCCCCCGGCUCAACCGGGGAAUUGCGCCCUAAACUGGCGAGCUGGAGUGAGAUAGGGGUGUGUGGAACUUCCAGUGGAGCGGUGAAAUGUGUUGAUAUUGGAAGGAAUGCCAGUGGCGAAAGCGACACACUGGGUCUCAACUGACGCUGAGGCACGAAAGCCAGGGGAGCAAACGGG
rnacentral:rRNA from 1 species